rnacentral:rRNA from 1 species
UGGGGAAUAUUGCACAAUGGGGGAAACCCUGAUGCAGCAACGCCGCGUGAGUGAUGACGGCCUUCGGGUUGUAAAGCUCUGUCUUCAGGGACGAUAAUGACGGUACCUGAGGAGGAAGCCACGGCUAACUACGUGCCAGCAGCCGCGGUAAUACGUAGGUGGCGAGCGUUGUCCGGAUUUACUGGGCGUAAAGGGAGCGUAGGCGGACUUUUAAGUGAGAUGUGAAAUACCCGGGCUCAACUUGGGUGCUGCAUUUCAAACUGGAAGUCUAGAGUGCAGGAGAUGAGAAUGGAAGUCCUAGUGUAGCGGUGAAAUGCGUAGAGAUUAGGAAUAACACCAGUGGCGAGUGUGAUUCUCUGGGCUGUAGCUGACGCUGAGGUUCGAAAGCGUGGUGAGCAAACA